GUGACUACUAAAUACCCUAAAAGCACCAGAUUCCAUCUGAUUUUGGAAGCUAAGCGGGACCAGCCUUGGUUUGUACUUGAAUGGGAGGCCACAAAGAAAUACCAGGUAAUGUACACU
rnacentral:rRNA from 1 species